GACGAACGCUGGCGGCAUGCCUAAUACAUGCAAGUCGAACGAACAGUUCGGGUCUUGUCUCGCACGGCUGUGUAACGCGUGGGGAGCUGCCCUUAGGUUCGGACUAACUACCCGACUGGGGUGCGAAUACCAGAUAAUGUCUUCUGACCAAAGAUUUAUUGCAUUUGGUUGUUCCAGCGUUGGAUACGCUAGUUGGUAGGGUAAAAGCCUACCAAGGCGACGAUCCAUAGCUGGGUUGAGAGGAUGGUCAGCCACACUGGGACUGAGACACGGCCCGGACUCUUACGGGAGGCAGCAGUGGUGAAUAUUGGACAAUGGGCGAAGGACUGAUCCAGCAAGGCCGCGUGAGUGAUGAAGGACGUAGGGUUGUAAAGCGUAUUUAACCGGGAUCAUAAUGACAGUACCGGGAGAAAAAGCGCCGGCUAACUACGUG
rnacentral:rRNA from 1 species